AACGAACGCUGGCGGCGCGCCUAAUACAUGCAAGUCGAGCGAGAAGACGUAGCAAUACGUUUGUAAAGCGGCGAACGGGUGAGGAAUACAUGGGUAACCUACCCUCGAGUGGGGAAUAACUAGCCGAAAGGUUAGCUAAUACCGCGUACGCUCCUUGGACUUCGGUUCAGGGAGGAAAGCGAUACCGUGGGUAUCGCGCUCUUGGAUGGGCUCAUGUCCUAUCAGCUUGUUGGUGAGGUAACGGCUCACCAAGGCUUCGACGGGUAGCUGGUCUGAGAGGACGAUCAGCCACACUGGCACUGCGACACGGGCCAGACUCCUACGGGAGGCAGCAGUAAGGAAUAUUGCGCAAUGGGCGAAAGCCUGACGCAGCGACGCCGCGUGGGGGAUGAAGGUCUUCGGAUUGUAAACCCCUUUCGGGAGGGAAGAUGGAACGAGCAAUCGUUCGGACGGUACCUCCAGAAGCAGCCACGGCUAACUUCGUGCCAGCAGCCGCCGCGGU
rnacentral:rRNA from 1 species